UAAGUGGGAUGACCGGCUAACUUCGCCACGUUCUGUGGCAAAGUAGGCACUUGUUCAUCCUGUACU
rnacentral:sRNA from 1 species